AACGAACGCUGGCGGCAUGCCUAACACAUGCAAGUCGAACGAAGCCUUCGGGCUUAGUGGCGCACGGGUGCGUAACGCGUGGGAAUCUGCCCCUUGCUUCGGAAUAACAGUUAGAAAUGACUGCUAAUACCGGAUGAAGUCUUCGGACCAAAGAUUUAUCGGCAAGGGAUGAGCCCGCGUAGGAUUAGGUAGUUGGUGGGGUAAAGGCCUACCAAGCCGACGAUCCUUAGCUGGUCUGAGAGGAUGAUCAGCCACACUGGGACUGAGACACGGCCCAGACUCCUACGGGAGGCAGCAGUGGGGAAUAUUGGACAAUGGACGCAAGUCUGAUCCAGCAAUGCCGCGUGAGUGAUGAAGGCCUUAGGGUUGUAAAGCUCUUUUACCAGGGAUGAUAAUGACAGUACCUGGAGAAUAAGCUCCGGCCAACUCCGUG
rnacentral:rRNA from 1 species